UCAAGCGAACAAGUGCAUGUGGUGGAUGCCUUGGCGAUCACAGGCGAUGAAGGACGCGGUAGCCUGCGAAAAGCGGAGGGGAGCUGGCAAACGAGCUUUGAUCCUCCGAUAUCCGAAUGGGGAAACCCGGCCCGUAUGGGUCAUCCGUAACUGAAUACAUAGGUUACGUGAAGCGAACGCGGUGAACUGAAACAUCUAAGUAACCGCAGGAAAAGAAAUCAACCGAGAUUCCCAGAGUAGUGGCGAGCGAAAUGGGACCAGCCUGUACUCUUUAUCUUCAUUGUUAGUCGAAGGCUCUGGAAAGUGCCGCCAUAGCAGGUGAUAGCCCUGUAGACGAAAACAGCGGGGAAGAACUAGGUGUACGGAAAGUAGGGCGGGACACGUGAAAUCCUGUCUGAAGAUGGGGGGACCAUCCUCCAAGGCUAAAUACUCGUGAUCGACCGAUAGUGAACCAGUACCGUGAGGGAAAGGCGAAAAGAACCCCGGGAGGGGAGUGAAACAGAUCCUGAAACCGCAUGCAUACAAACAGUCGGAGCCUCGCAAGGGGUGACGGCGUACCUUUUGUAUAAUGGGUCAGCGACUUACAUUCAGUGGCAAGCUUAACCGAUUAGGGCAGGCGUAGCGAAAGCGAGUCCGAACAGGGCGAUUCAGUCGCUGGGUGUAGACCCGAAACCAGGUGAUCUAUCCAUGGCCAGGAUGAAGGUGCGGUAACACGUACUGGAGGUCCGAACCCACUAACGUUGAAAAGUUAGGGGAUGAGCUGUGGAUAGGGGUGAAAGGCUAAACAAACCUGGAAAUAGCUGGUUCUCUCCGAAAACUAUUUAGGUAGUGCCUCGUGUAUCACCUUCGGGGGUAGAGCACUGUCAUGGUUGUGGGGUCCAUUGCGGAUUACUACGCCAUAGCAAACUCCGAAUACCGAAGAGUGCAAUCACGGGAGACAGACAUCGGGUGCUAACGUCCGGUGUCAAGAGGGAAACAACCCAGACCGCCAGCUAAGGUCCCCAAAUAUUGCUAAGUGGGAAACGAAGUGGGAAGGCUAAAACAGUCAGGAGGUUGGCUUAGAAGCAGCCAUCCUUUAAAGAAAGCGUAAUAGCUCACUGAUCGAGUCGUCCUGCGCGGAAGAUGUAACGGGGCUAAGCAAUAUACCGAAGCUGCGGAUGCACAUUUAUGUGCAUGGUAGGAGAGCGUUCCGUAAGCCUGCGAAGGUGCAUUGAAAAGUGUGCUGGAGGUAUCGGAAGUGCGAAUGCUGACAUGAGUAGCGAUAAAGGGGGUGAAAGGCCCCCUCGCCGUAAGCCCAAGGUUUCCUACGCAACGUUCAUCGGCGUAGGGUGAGUCGGCCCCUAAGGCGAGGCAGAAAUGCGUAGCUGAUGGGAAGCAGGUUAAUAUUCCUGCACCAUUGUUAAAUGCGAUGGGGGGACGGAUCGCGGAAGGUUGUCCGGGUGUUGGAAGUCCCGGUCCUUGCAUUGGAGAAGGCGCUCAGGCAAAUCCGGGCGCGGAAUUCAAGGGUGCGAGGCCAUUCACUUAGGUGAAGAAGCAAUCGGAAGUGGUUCCAAGAAAAGCCUCUAAGCUUCAGUUUAACAGGACCGUACCGCAAACCGACACAGGUGGGCGAGAUGAGUAUUCUAAGGCGCUUGAGAGAACUCGGGAGAAGGAACUCGGCAAAUUGGUACCGUAACUUCGGGAUAAGGUACGCCCCUGUAGCUUGAUGCCCCUGCGGGCAGAGGGUGAAGGGGUUGCAAUAAACUGGUGGCUGCGACUGUUUAAUAAAAACACAGCACUCUGCAAACACGAAAGUGGACGUAUAGGGUGUGACGCCUGCCCGGUGCCGGAAGAUUAAAUGAUGGGGUGCAAGCUCUUGAUUGAAGUCCCGGUAAACGGCGGCCGUAACUAUAACGGUCCUAAGGUAGCGAAAUUCCUUGUCGGGUAAGUUCCGACCUGCACGAAUGGCGUAACGAUGGCCACACUGUCUCCUCCCGAGACUCAGCGAAGUUGAAGUGUUUGUGAUGAUGCAAUCUCCCCGCGGCUAGACGGAAAGACCCCAUGAACCUUUACUGUAGCUUUGCAUUGGACUUUGAACCGAUCUGUGUAGGAUAGGUGGGAGGCUAUGAAGCGUGGACGCCAGUCUGCGUGGAGCCGUCCUUGAAAUACCACCCUGGUUUGUUUGAGGUUCUAACCUUGGUCCGUAAUCCGGAUCGGGGACAGUGCAUGGUAGGCAGUUUGACUGGGGCGGUCUCCUCCCAAAGUGUAACGGAGGAGUACGAAGGUACGCUAGGUACGGUCGGAAAUCGUGCUGAUAGUGCAAUGGCAUAAGCGUGCUUAACUGCGAGACCGACAAGUCGAGCAGGUGCGAAAGCAGGUCAUAGUGAUCCGGUGGUUCUGUAUGGAAGGGCCAUCGCUCAACGGAUAAAAGGUACUCUGGGGAUAACAGGCUGAUACCGCCCAAGAGUUCAUAUCGACGGCGGUGUUUGGCACCUCGAUGUCGGCUCAUCUCAUCCUGGGGCUGUAGCCGGUCCCAAGGGUAUGGCUGUUCGCCAUUUAAAGAGGUACGUGAGCUGGGUUUAAAACGUCGUGAGACAGUUUGGUCCCUAUCUGCCGUGGGCGCUGGAUAUUUGAAGGGGGCUGCUCCUAGUACGAGAGGACCGGAGUGGACGAACCUCUGGUGUACCGGUUGUCACGCCAGUGGCAUCGCCGGGUAGCUAUGUUCGGAAGAGAUAACCGCUGAAAGCAUCUAAGCGGGAAACUCGCCUUAAGAUGAGAUAUCCCCGGGGCUUCGAGCCCCUUGAAGGGUCGUUCAAGACCAGGACGUUGAUAGGUCAGGUGUGGAAGCGCAGUAAUGCGUUAAGCUAACUGAUACUAAUUGCCCGUAAGGCUUGAUCCU
rnacentral:rRNA from 1 species